GGCUUCGGCCACAUCCAACUGCCAGGCCGGGCUGUUGCGUUUUCUGCGUCUAGUCGGGCAGCUCAAGGUGAGCGAGUGGGCUCGGCCGGGCCGGGAGGCGGCGGGGUCCAGCUCAGGCUCCGACCUCACGCAACCUCCCUCGCUCAGCCCCGCCUCGUGCGGCCUGGAUGUGCCGGGAAGGAGCUGGCGGGAACCCAGCCGAGGAUUCUUUGCGGGGCGCCGCCACAGCCCAGGUCAUGGGCGGUGCUGCGGAGCUGCAGCGGAAGGCCGGAGUGUGGCCCCUGCUUAUGAGUAGUGGAGACCUUCCUCUGUCGCCGUGACUUCCGGAAAUGACCGUUUCAGUAAUUCGGUUUCAGCGUGCACCAGCUUGUGCAGAGCUUGUGCAGAGCCCCCUACGUUCCAAGACGAGCUGUUCCCUGACACUGUGACUACUGUUUGUGAAAUCCUUUAGAAACAUAGAACUCCCAGGUAAAAUGCAGACUCACAUGAUCACAUCAUGAUCUGAAUAAAAGGCUUCACUGCCGUGG
rnacentral:lncRNA from 1 species